CAGGAGUUAGCACGGUGCUUNNUCAUGCUAGGUAACCGUCAGUACGCACUUAGAAAAAGCACUUUUUUCGUCCCAGUAUAAAAGAAGUUUACAAUCCAGAGGACCUUNAUCCUCCACGCGGCAUGGCUGGNCUCAGACUUGCAGUCCAUUAGACCAUAUAUUCCUUACUAGCUGCCUCCCGUAGG
rnacentral:rRNA from 1 species